GAACUGCCCUCCCGCACCUUCCUACUGCACCCUUCUGGAUCCUGAAGCGCCUUCCUGCAUCCUUCCAAACCCUCCUGUACCCUUUUGUCCUCUGCAGCAUCUUUCCCUGCCCUUUUGCGUCCUUACGCGCCCUCCUCCAUCCCACUCCAUCCUCCUGGCACAUCCUGCAUCCUCACACAUCCUUCCACGUCCUCCUGCGCCCUCCUCAAUGCCACAUUGCAUUUGCAGCUUGCAGCCCUCGUGUCCCCACUGGAACAGAGCAUCACUGGCCAUCACAGCAUGGCCAGAACCCCAAAUCCCCUUUUCCAACCCUCACAGCACUUCCAGGCCUGUACCCAUUUGGCUUUUGGGACACAAGGCUGUGAUCCUGGGAGCUGCAAAGGGAAAUGGGCAGGGGGGGAUGGACUCGGCUGUCUCCUGGUGCAGGGGCUUUUGAGGAAAAAGAGAAGAGCAUAAAAUAUUGCUGCCUUCUCUUUUUCUCCCUGUUGUCAGGAAAAUUAAUCCACAAACACCAGAGGUUUUUGUCCAAAAAGGAGACAGAGGAGUCCUGUUACUCUCUUUGAAUAAAGGGAAAGGCCAUGGGGCAUUCCCCUGGGGUCUCUCAGAUUUUUGUGGAUGCAGCUUCCUUUUUAUCCUAAUUUCCCAUCUGCAUUUCCCUCUCCCUUUCCCCAUUGGCUGAGGCAUUUGGGAGGUACAGACUCCAUGGAUAUCUAAAACACCCUUCUCAUGCAUACCCCCCACCCCAGUUUUCUUUUUCUUUGUGUCUCUCUUUUUUUUUUCUCGAAAUCCAAAGAUUUAACACAGUCUUGAGUGAGUCUUGUUUAAUCACCACAAAUUUGUUUGCAUUUCUGAGCAGCCCAUCAGGCAUCAGCCACACCCAGAGCAAUUGCUCCGAGUCUGGUUUGGCCAUGAACAUCCCCAGGACUUAUUUAAUUUUAGUACAGAAACUCCCUGACACCACUGGAUUUUUUGCUUAUGCCAGCAGAUAUAAUUGUAUGAGCUACAACCUCCUUGUGCCCAGUGUGAGAGUGCAAGGAAAAGUGAAAUAAGGCCAUUUUGAGCUCACAUUUCUCUCCCUCUUUAUUCCAGAACUGUUAAUUCAUCAGCAGUGGAUCUGGCCCCUGGGUGGGGAAUGGUAGAUCUCAGGUUGCUCAGCCACAGAUUCCCAGAGACUGAAAAGACAGAGACCCCCCUGCAUUCUUAGAUGAUCUUGUCCUCCAAGCCCUCCAAGAGAAGGAUUUAUUGCAUCCACUAUCAGAGGAUAUAAAACCCAGUGGCACCAAGAAGAUUGAUCUAUUGGGAAGGGGGAAAGAGAACAAAUAAACAGGGAGAGUGUCCUGAGAGCCAAAGCUUUACUGGAAUCUUACCAUCAAAUCAAGUUUUCCACAAGGUAGGAGACAUAUCACUGACUUCUUCAGGGGAUCCUGGGGAAGGGAAGGUGGACCACAGUCCACCCAACCCUGUGGGUGUCCUCCCUUUUGUGUGGUCCAGCAAAAAGCUUCUGAAUCAAUUAAAGUUGAAAUGAAAUUUCAAACAAUUAAAUUUGUAAAUUAAAUGCAGCAGGGUAAUGGUAGCAUUUGCCUCCUCUUCCUUUAGCUCCAAGCAGGUAAACCUGUUGGUAAAAAAUACCAAUGGUCACAGGAGGACUGACAGGAGUAUCCUUUGGCCUUUUUGUCCCCUAAAAUAGAUUGAUUAAUUUUUUUCAGUUUUAAUAAACUUCAGAGUGAGAUGCAGUCCCAAUGAAGGUCUAUUAA